UUACAAAAGGAAAAUUGCACCUGUACCUAAUAAGCCAUAGUAGCUCUGGGAACUGAAUCUCGGGGACCAGGAACAGUCUCGCAUGUCAUUGUAAUCUGGAUUCAUGAACUCUGACUUUCCACAGUCUUUGAGUCACUGAGCACCAGGAUCAACUUUCACAGAGGAUCCAGAUAAUCAGCCAGCUUGAGUCACACUCCUGCAGCUUGGCUAGGGUAGGGAUUCCUGACCAACAGUCCCAUAAGAUCUUAUCCAGUCAGGAGGUACUGGACCAAUCUGAAGUGCAGCCAAGACCGGGAGCCACAGACCUGGAACCUGGGUACUCAAAGAGUUGUCCACGUGCCAGCAGCACUGGCCCCUCCAGGAGCUUGUUAGAAAUGUAGAACCUCAGAGCCUACAUUAAAGAUAUUGAAUCGGAGUCUGCACGUCACAUCUGAGAAGCCAUGAGCUAAGCUGAUGCCAUUCAGCUGGGUAGCAUCGCAGUCACUGUGCAACUUUUAAACCUACAGCUGCCCAGGCCCACUGCAGACCUGCUAAAUUCGAGCUCCUUGUAGUGGGGCCAGGGCCCUGGGACUUCACACAAAACUCUGCAAGUCAUCACUGAUGAGAAAACCAAGACUCGAUGAGAGUCUCCUGAGCUCGGGGGAAGAAGCUGCAUAACCGGCACACUUCCAGAAAGGACCGAGGAAGAGAGCGUCGCUUCAGCUAGGGAUCUGAUUAGUCAUGCCUGGUUGGCAGAUGAAUGGACUAAGAAUACGUGAUACACACACACACACACACACAGACACAUGUACUAAAAUAUCUUUCAGCCUUAACAAGAAGAAAAUCUUGCCAUUUGCAAUGAGAUAGAUAAACCUAGAAGACAUUAUGUUAAAUGAAAUAAAGCAAGCACAGAAAAUCACAUACUACACACUUAUAUGUAGAAUCUAGAAAAGUUGGAAUCAUUGAAAUAGAGUAGAAUGAAAGCCACCAACAGCUGGGGGUAGGAGAAACAGGAAGAUGAUGGUCAAAGGUCAGAGGACACAAACUUGCAGGUGUAAGAUGAGUCAGUUCUGGAGACCUAGUGUACAGCGUGGGGACUCUAGUUAAUAAUGUGUUUGACACUUGGAACUUGGAAAGAGUUGAUCUCAAGUAUUCUCACCACACACACACACACACACAAACACACAGGUACUUGUGAGGUGAAGGAUAUGUUAAUUUUCUUGAUUGUGGUAAUCAUUUCACGAUGUGUGUCUAUAUAAAACAUCAUGCUGCACACUUUACAUACAUAGAGUUGUAUAUGUCAAUUUUAUCUCAAUGAAAUGGCAGGUCCUUCCCUUGACCUGCCACCUGACCUGCUACAGUUCAGAGGUUUGAGGCAGGGUAGCAUCACCACCAGUGGAGAUGGAGGCAGUGUUUAAAUAACACACAAUUAUGUUGGGAAGUCAAAGGGGGCACCAGGCUCUCUAAGGAAAAGCUUGGCCUCUUCAGGACAUUCUAGGAGGAUAGCACAUAAUCCACACCCCACACCAUGCCUUUCCCUGGGUGAUGUCAUUCCUGAAUCCACAUCCCACACCAUGACUUUCCCUGGGUGAUGUCAUUCCCGCUGUGGCAUCUGGAUCAUCCACCUGCCAACAGUGCCCAGAGCCUCACCUCCAGACCAGACCCACCCUCUUCAAAUGGCCCACCCUGCAGACCCUCUCGAAGAGCUCACAGGCACCCCCAGAGAAGGUGUCCCAAAUGCCGCCUUCUCUCACCAGCCUGUUCUCACUGAAGUCUUGGUUAUCUUAGUAAAUGGCACCACUACCCAACCAGUUGCUUGAGUCCAUAAAUGUAGGACUUACCAUUCACACCACCCUUUGUCUUAUCACUCAGUUUAAACACAUCUCUCAGCCUUGACCAUUUCACUUUCAAAGUAUACCUUGAAUCUCUGGGUACCUCUUUGUGUUUACAGCCAUCAUCUGACUCUAAGCCACAGACACCUCUCAUCUAGAUAUGACCACAGCCAGUGUCAGCCUGCCAGAUACACACCCUGCUCACAUUCCUGCUUCCCUCCAGUCUAUUCCACUUGCACAUACACGUAUACACUCACACACACUCAUUCACAUGCACACUGCCACACACACAUACACAGCACUGCAUACACUCAUACUCACUUCCAUACCCAUGACCACACACUCACACACGCACACAAUCACAUGCAUGACCACCACACACACUCACACACUCAUGCACAUACAGUCACAUACAAACACGUGAUCUUUAAGAACGUAUGUUAAAUAACAUUGUUUCUACUUAUGAUUCAUCAGUAGCAUCCUGUGGCAUUUUGUAUUUAAUUCAAACUUCUUCACCUGUUCCAGAAGCUCCUGGGAGCCAUGGCCCCUGCCGGCCCCCCAGGUUCCCCUGAUACCACACCCUGCACUGCCCAGUCCCUCCACACUGACCCCCUUUAGCUGCUCAAAGUCUUCCUCUGCCCCGUAGUUUCCACACAGGCCCUCCCCUGCUGGGGUGCUCUCCCUGCCAGUCCUGGCCUGGCUAUUCCUCCCAUAGACCCCCCUGAUGGAAGGAGGCUCCUUGGACCCAGGCACUGCUCCUGUGCUGGUCUCCAUGGGGCCUCGGUAGUGGACAUUGUGUCCAUUGUUCACUGAGUGAGUGAGCGUUCACUUGCUUACAGUGUGUGUCCUACACACUAUGCUCCAUGAGGGAAGGGACUGAUUUGCUCAUCACUGAAAUGCUGGAGUUUCUGGUAUUCAACACAUGCUCAGUAAGACCUGACUGAACAACUCAAUACCAUCUCCACUAUAGAGACACCCACAGAGUGCGGCAGAGGCAGCCAUGGGCCAAUGUUUAGGUGACUGAGUUUCUGAUGCCAUCACAGGCCCUAAUUCCCCAUGUGAAUUUGGGCAAAUUGCUGUACCUCUCUGAGCGCAACUUCCUCACCUGUAUGUAAGAGGGUUUACAUCAGGCAUCUUUAUGGCCCUGAAUUAUGAAAAAGUAAGAAGACUUCGCUUCCUGGGGUCUUUGGGGCUGGCCUGUUAUGUUUGCAGGGAGCCUGGCAGUGUUCCUGUGCUGUCCUCCCUUUUUUGGCUUGAAGUGUUGACAGCAUGUGUGCUUACUUGCUGGAGAUCCCAUGGUGUGUAAAGCUGUGGUUGUUGGAUUUGGUAACAGUCUCUGCUGGAGCUUGCACAGCAAGCUACGGGGCAGAGGAAGACUUUGAACUCCAGAGCAGUGGAACUGGCAACUCCCUAGGAUCCUGAUCCUCAUCAGUUUGGACGUUUCUUGUAGCCAUGUGACCCAUCUGUGUCUCUACUUGCCUUUAUGGGACCGAAGACCACCUGACCGUGGCUCCAUGUGAAUGUGAAAUCAGGUCUGGAGUGGGAGAGCAGUGGGUGCCGCCCCGCCGGCUGCGACACUGGGCUGGAGUCUCUGGUGGGUGGUGGACCCAUUGAGCUGGCAGCGUGCACCUGAUCUCAUCCCGAGGGAAUCCACGUGGUGUUUUCCUUGUUUUCUGGUGAAAAUAAUUGGGUGCAAUGAGAGAGCUGAGCCACCUGUGUGCCAGGUGCCAGAGAUCAGUGGCCUCACCAUAAACUUGGCCAGGGCAGAAGAUGGCUGAAGGUCAAAGUAGCUGCAAGAGGUGUUGUUAUCAGGCAUGAAGAUAAAUCGCUUGAUAUCAGCUUAAAAAUGACAAGAAUAAAGCUUCUCCUUUACGCUGCCUGAGACCCUGUUUGCUGACAGUGAUGGGUGUGAGCUAAAGCUCACUUGCUCUUGCCCCUUCAGAUACAAUCAGCUACUGUUCUGCAGAGAUGGGCAUCUGCCAACCUGCACAGUCCGGUGUUUUGAUAGAGCAACUCUCUCGAUAUUCUUCUCUAACCCCCUCUUACCCUUCGGGCAUUUCAAACACUGUCCUGGACUCUUCUCCCUCACCUGCAGCACAGAGGCACAGAGUGAAGAAGAAACACAGCACCAGGACCCUCUUUCCUAUCUGUUUAGAGAGAAGAUGGUGGAGAAGGUUUGGGCGGGAAAGUAAAUAGAGACCAAGGGUAGGAGGAGAGAGGGGCAGGAUGGGAGGGAGACAGGGCAUGAGGGAGAAAGAGAAGUCAUUGAUGGGCAGAGGGUGAAGGGAGAAGAGGAGAGAGAAAAUGAGGGGUAGAGAGAAGCUUGCCAUGGAGGGCACAGAAUGCAUUUCCCCCUCAGAACACUGGCUUGAAGCAGAGAAAAUGAAUUUUAGUGAUAUUCAAGGUUGAAACACUCACCAGCAAUAGACACACUUAGAAAUAGCUUAAUAAAUGCAUUAACAAUCUACAAAGACACAGAAAGUUCCAAGAAUUCUAAAUCCUCUCUUCCCUCUAG
rnacentral:lncRNA from 10 species